GCCUCGUUGGCGUAGUGGUAGCGCGUCGCACUUGUAAUGCGAAGGCCACUCGUUCAAUCCGGGUACGAGGCA
rnacentral:tRNA from 1 species